GUCGAGAAUUUUUCACAAUGGGGGAAACCCUGAUGGAGCGACGCCGCGUGGAGGAUGAAGGUUUUCGGAUUGUAAACUCCUGUCAUUAGAGAACAAGGCACACGGUUUAACUGACCGUGUGUUGAUAGUAUCUGAAGAGGAAGAGACGGCUAACUCUGUGCCAGCAGCCGCGGUAAUACAGAGGUCUCAAGCGUUGUUCGGAUUCAUUGGGCGUAAAGGGUGCGUAGGUGGCGAUGUAAGUCGGAUGUGAAAUCUCCAAGCUUAACUUGGAAACUGCAUUCGAUACUGCGUUGCUAGAGGACUGUAGAGGGCAUUGGAAUUCACGGUGUAGCAGUGAAAUGCGUAGAUAUCGUGAGGAAGACCAGUGGCGAAGGCGAAUGCCUGGGCAGUUCCUGACACUGAGGCACGAAGGCCAGGGGAGCAAACGGGAUUAGAUACCCUGGUAGUCC
rnacentral:rRNA from 1 species